AUAUGAGUCAUUUUAUUUGUUGCCAGUGUUCAUCUAUUAAAGACUUUUAAAAGUAAAGCCCUCCUAAUGAAUAUAAACUGUAGUGAAGUGUGACAGCUAGUUUUUCCAGAAGCAGAAGUGCUUUAAUGAUUCUGCCUGUGGCUCAAACACUGAUAUAAAUGAUCCGGUGAUUAGUGCAGCUCUUUAUUAGAUCAGUGACCGCUCGUCCUCCAGUCCAGCAGGGGGCGCAGUGCAGUCCCUCCACAGGAGAAGAUGGUCUUCAGACUGAAACAUGGGGAUGAGGACUGCUUUGCUGAUAACUGCAUAUUUAAUUGUGGUGUUGUGGCAUUAAUGGUUCAAAUUCACAAAGGCAUUACAAUUCUGCAGCCUAACAAAUCCAUCAGGAAAUAUUCCCACCAUUGUACAGGUGAAGAAACCCCUCAGAUACACUGUGAAGCAUAAUCAACUAAGGAGGAAUAAGUCCAGGUCAAAGACAUAUCUAAAGUCAGUUUUACCCUCCUGUAAUUGGGCUCUGAAUCUCAGGUUUAUCUUUCUUCAGAAAAUAUAUUGACAAAAAUACCUGCUGGAAGUGAAAACAGGAGCUGAAUGAAGCGGAGAAACAGUUCAUCCCUGGAGACGAUUGGUUUAAUUGCUCACAGAUUGAACAGACCGCUUUCAGUGUGGAAAGAGCUUCAAAUAGACACACAGUCUCAAAAAAACGGUUCAGUGUGUGAAAGAGCUUCUCGCUGACCGUUAGCUGCAAGUGUCCGAAUGUUUUAUGGAACUGUGUUUUCAGGAAUUGUCAAAUCGCUGAUCUGUGUUCGCAACAAUGAAACUCGUGACCAUAGUUAGCUAACAAUGCUUUUGGAAAAUACACCCGAAUACAUAAGCAUUGGGAACACCUCUUUAUACUGAAUUCAGGCAUUUCAAUCAGACCCAUCGCCACAGGUGUGUAAAACCAAGCACUAGCCGUGCAGUCUGCAUUUACAAACACUGAUGAAAAAACAGUGAUAACGCAAUCAGUCAGUUUGUGAAGUUUCAUCUCUUCUAGAUAACCCAUGCUCAGCUGUGAGUGGUGUUGUUGAGACGUGGAAGCAUCUCAGCCAUGAAGCUGAAGAUCAUGUAAAAUCACAGGGCUGAGGAUCACGGAGAGUAAAAGUCACCAACGCUCUGCUGAUUCCAGACUUCCACCAGCAUUAAUAUCAGCACAAAAACUGCGCAGCGGAGCUUCAUGAAUGGGUUUCCAUGGCCGAGCAUCCUCAUGAAGCCUCACAUCACCAGUGAAUGAUGGACUGGAGUAAAGCACACAGAUACUGGACUCUGGAGCAGCAGAAACCUGUUCUGAGACCAGUCACACGGUCUGAACAACACGAGGAGAGUGAAUGAUUGUUGGGUGAACAAACCCUUUGAUUUA